rnacentral:rRNA from 1 species
AUAACCCGUUGAAAGACGGCCUAAUACCUAAUAGUUUAUAAUAGUUGCAUGACUGUUAUAAUAAAGAUUUAUCGGUAUAAGAUAGGGAUGCGUCUGAUUAGUUAGUUGGUGAGGUAACGGCUCACCAAGGCAUCGAUCAGUAGGGGUUCUGAGAGGAAGGUCCCCCACAUUGGAACUGAGACACGGUCCAA